AGGACGAACGCUGGCGGCGUGCUUAACACAUGCAAGUCGAGCGGAAAGGCCUUUCGGGGUACUCGAGCGGCGAACGGGUGAGUAACACGUGAGUAAUCUGCCCAUCGCUUCAGGAUAGCCAUCGGAAACGGUGAUUAAUACUGGAUAUGACAUUCCUUCGCAUGUUGGGGUGUGGAAAGUUUUUUCGGCGGUGGAUGUGCUCGCGGCCUAUCAGCUUGUUGGUGGGUAAUGGCCUACCAAGGCUUUGACGGGUAGCCGGCUGAGAGGGUGACCGGCCACACGUGGGACUGGAGACACCGGCCCAGACUCCGUACGGGAGCCAGCAGGUGGGAAUAGUGGACAAGUGGGACGAAGCUGACUCCGAGCAACGCCGCGUGAGGAUGGACGGUCCGUUCGGGUUCGUAAACCUUCGUUU
rnacentral:rRNA from 1 species